GAUGAAGAACGCAGCGAAUUGCGAUAAGUAAUGUGAAUUGCAGAAUUCAGUGAAUCAUCGAAUCUUUGAACGCACAUUGCGCCCAUUAGCAUUCUAGUGGGCAUGCCUGUUCGAGCGUCAUUUCAACCCUUAAGCCCUGUUGCUUAGCGUUGGGAGCCUACAGUACUGUAGCUCCCCAAAGUUAGUGGCGGAGUCGGUUUCACACUCUAGACGUAGUAAUUUUUUCUCGUCUGUAGUUGAGCCGGUCCCCUGCCGUAAAACACCCAAUUUAUCAAGGUUGACCUCGGAUCAGGUAGGAAUACCCGCUGAACUUAAGCAUAUCAAUAAGCGGAGGA
rnacentral:misc_RNA from 1 species